UACGGGGGGGGGCAAGCGUUGUUCGGAAUUACUGGGCGUAAAGGGCUCGUAGGCGGCCAACUAAGUCAUACGUGAAAUCCCUCGGCUUAACCGGGGAACUGCGUCUGAUACUGGAUGGCUUGAGUUCGGGAGAGGGAUGCGGAAUUCCAGGUGUAGCGGUGAAAUGCGUAGAUAUCUGGAGGAACACCGGUGGCGAAGGCGGCAUCCUGGACCGAUACUGACGCUGAGGAGCGAAAGCGUGGGGAGCGAACAGG
rnacentral:rRNA from 1 species